AGUUUGACACCGGUGUUUGCUUAGGGUUCUGUCCAAAAGCACAGUGGCUCCCUGUCCGGAGCUGCAAGCCUGCACAGCCUUACCUCCGUGCCGGCAUUCUGUGCAGUUCCUGAGGGACCAAUAGGGAGCACAAUACCUUAGAAGUGUGCAGGAGUGGGAUGCUGGCACAGAUCCCCAUGCCCAAGAAUGGUAGCUGUGUGGGGGAACCUGCAAGACUGUGAGGAUGAGAAUGCCCAGUUCAGAAGUGAGCAAGCAACAAUGCUACUGUUCCAAUAGCUCUGUCAGAGCUGCUGAGCUGUGAGUGAACCCUGCUGCUGCCCCAGGAGAAGAAGGUGAGAGCUGCUGAGGUAAAGCAAAGCCUGUGGAUAGACCUUUUCAAGCUGCAGAAACCAUCAGCUCGGGGGGGAGGAAGUGACUGAAAAAGGAGGCUAAGGGAGACCUAAUAAUGACUCCCUGAGGAAAACUGCUGGUCAGAGCAAUUAGCUAUGAAUCUAGGAAAAGCCAUAACUGAAAGGAGAACAGAGGGUUUAUUUUAAUUCCUCAGUGUCUGGGAGCACUUUGGAUGGGGGCUAAAGGAAUACUUUUCCUUCCUAAGCAGAUCCCUAGAAAGAUCAAACCCAUGAUGUCCCUAGGAUGUGGGGCCACAUGGUGGCCAGGGCCACCUCCAAGCUCCAGCUCUUCAUUCCUCAUUAUGGCACAUCAUGGGACAACUGGAACAUUAAAUAUAUUACCUUCAUUAUGGAAAGCUACGGUCUAUAAAUGUGACUGCAUUGGAUAUCUGGUUUCUAAUGCGGGCUGUGAAGGGAUGCCCCUUUUUAUCAUGGUCAGGGAGGAGCUGCCAGGCUCAUCAGACACUUCAAAAAACCUCAGCCUUUCACUUAGCAAGAAGCCCAGUCUCUCAUGUACCCAAUUUGUUAUAAGGGGAAUGUCAUGCAAUAUUGCUCAGAGUAGUUAUAAGGCAUUAGCUGCCAUCUGAUUUCAAAAAAGUCACUCAUUUCUCUGCUGCAGUUCAUCAGUGAUCAACUACACACAAUUCGUCCAUGAUCAACUGUCAAUGGGAAGUCUUUGAUUUCACUGGGCUUUAGACUUAGCUUGUGAGAGGCCAGGCCAGUUCAUAGAGUAAAGAGCUUUAAAAUGAAACAUGAUUAUUAGUGACUAUUUUCCUCCAUUGAAAUCAGCAGAGAAGUUUACUUUAUUCUUUGUCCUUUAAUCAAAGCAGUAAAGCAUUUUAGCAAUCUGAAAAUCUCUCUGUAUAAUGUUGCAAAACAGGCAAAAUUCAAACUAUUUUUCUUUGCAACUCCUUUAUCUCAGCGAAAGAUAUUUAAGCAAACCUGUCACAAAACACGCUGCUGUACAAUGAUGUAUAAAUUGACUGGUGUUCCUGUUAGGAAUUCUUGCCAGAAGUUUUGCAGCAGAGGGGAAGGCCAGAGCAGAAUCGUGUUGAAAAGCAUUGCCACUGGUGGUUCAAAAAAAUCACUGCUCCUUUUUAAAAUCCCAUCUUGUGUCUUUACAAGGCUGUACCAUGAGACACUUACAAGCUGUGUUACAUUAAAAUGUUUAAUUAGAAAUAUGAGUUAUGCCUUGCAUGGUAACAGGAAACCACCGUAAAAUAUCAAAUAAUGUAUACUCUGAUAGUCUCAGACUAUCAGAGCAGUCGUGCAUAAGUUCAAAUUCUUUUUCAGUGGGACAUUGAUUAAACACUUUGAUGAAUCUAGGCCCAUACAUUCAGCAGCUUCUUCCCUUUCUCAGCAUGGGUUUAGCUAUAUGAAGCCAGAAAUGGCCUUUGCACACUUAGACUUUGGGAGCACAUUCAGCUGGAAUCUAGCCUUGCACUAGGGUUAGACCUCUACAGUAAUUCAACUCUGUUUGUUCUGGCUCUGAACAAAGACAAGCAGGGCUAUGGAGUUAUGUUACUCACUACAAGUUGAGGAAUCAGCUUUCCACGUGGCAUUAUCCUCUCACCCCCUUUCCCACAGGAACUGCGCAAUGUAAGUUAAGCUUUUGCCUUUGUCAUUGUCUUGCUCUAGUGGCUCGGCUCCAACAUGUGGCCAUGUACCACCUCAUUAUUUAUACCCUGCUAGCAUCUUAUUUAGUAGCUCAGCUUCCACCACAAAUGUAUUGGGAUAACUGCUUUUUCCUGGAUAAGAGACUCAUUAUAAUGGCUGCUUCUCUGCAGGGGUCAGCACCUCCUCCCCAUGAAUAUGAUAAGGUGCUCCAAGUGACACCUCACCUGCAAAUGGUGUUUUUCCCUGCAGAGUCACUUCCCAUGGGCUACAAGCUGCUACUGAAUUUCUGCAGUAAUAUUUUAAUUUAAUAACUUAAUUUAAGAUUUAAUGGCUUUCUUUCCUGUGCUUUGUAGUAUAAUUAAUUCAUGUCUAACUCAUUAGACUUGGGGAUCUGAGGCUCAUCUGGGCACACAAGGGCUGUAAACACAUAAACCUCUGUUAGGGCCUAUUGAAGGUGGGCAAAUGCAGAGCUGUGCAUGGAAAGAAUGAGCUAUUUUAUCCUUAGGGAUAAUCAGAAAAUAAUUUGUUAAUAGUUGGGUAUGUCUUUUAAUCAUAACUGUAGUUUGUAAUACUAAUGGUUAAACCAACAAAAGUCUGGUCCACUGACAUUUAAGGUUAAGGCUAAGUCCUAGGUUUUCUGAUCUUAGAAGACUUGGCCCAACACCUCCAAACACCAGCUUGCAUGCAUGUGUGCAUGCCCAGAAGCUGUGGGCACUUCUGCCUCUUGACAAUACAGCUCAAGCAGACACUACAGAGACCCUCUGAGCCUGACACUGAAGAGUCUACCACAGGACUUUGUCUCUUUGGCUUACUUAGAUCUGUGCUGCUGUGCAUAUCACAUGGAAGAGAUAAGGCCUGUCACUGUAAUUGAAAAUCUUGAAUUGCUGGAAGAGCUGAAGCCUUGGUGACCCACUCCUCCAGAGGACACUGCAACUGCAAGACUGCCAGCUACUUGAAGGUGGAGGUUUCUUGUUCCCUGCUGGUAUUGGUCUUCUGCUUUGAUAUGAUGGGUCAAAUAUUCACUGAUGCAGAGACUACAAAUGCCUCUGGCCCUAAGCACUGAUAACAGCGUUUGCUCAAGUUCUAUGUUCAAGGCAAUGCUCUGGAUUAGCAGAGCAGAGGUUUGAAACGUCCUUCCAGGCAAACACUUUAGCUGCCCACUUAUCUGCAAGUCUGGGUGUGGAUAUCUCAUUUCUUCAGUUUGCAGUUAGGGCUGAA